rnacentral:rRNA from 1 species
UACGAAGGGGGCUAGCGUUGCUCGGAAUUACUGGGCGUAAAGGGCGCGUAGGCGGGUCGUUAAGUUAGAGGUGAAAGCCCAGGGCUCAACCCUGGAAUUGCCUUUAAUACUGGCGGCCUUGAGUAUGGCAGAGGUGUGUGGAACUCCGAGUGUAGAGGUGAAAUUCGUAGAUAUUCGGAAGAACACCAGUGGCGAAGGCGACACACUGGGCCAUUACUGACGCUGAGGCGCGAAAGCGUGGGGAGCAAACAGG